GGGGAGCGUAUUUUUUUACAGGGAGAGAAGGGAAGUCUGUCAGGAGGAGUAGUUCGAGCAUAGCUGGCAGGAGCGGGAUAACCGGAGGUCAAAUUGACCACCACAAGUCCGGCAGGCGGACGUGGGUUCAGUGUCAGAGCCCAGAGGGGUGAUCACCGGGCUGGGACUCUGGCUCCUGCUGCCUACUAGCCGCUUUCCUUGUUUCUGGAUUUCCAUCUUUCCUGGUUUUCUUUUUUCUUAUUUUUGUUUUUCUUUCCCUUGUGUGAUGGGCAGCUAAAAACUCUUUGGUUUAUGAAUAGUCAGCGCUUAAAAACUCAAAAACCCCAUUUUUAAAGCCCACAAAGAGCAAUAGUAGAGAGAGAGAGAGAGAGAG
rnacentral:misc_RNA from 1 species